rnacentral:rRNA from 1 species
AGAGUUCGUUCCUGGCUCAGAUUGAACGCUGGCGGCAUGCCUUACACAUGCAAGUCGAACGGCAGCACGGAGCUUGCUCUGGUGGCGAGUGGCGAACGGGUGAGUAAUAUAUCGGAACGUACCCUAGAGUGGGGGAUAACGUAGCGAAAGUUACGCUAAUACCGCAUACGAUCUAAGGAUGAAAGUGGGGGAUCGCAAGACCUCAUGCUCGUGGAGCGGCCGAUAUCUGAUUAGCUAGUUGGUAGGGUAAAAGCCUACCAAGGCAUCGAUCAGUAGCUGGUCUGAGAGGACGACCAGCCACACUGGAACUGAGACACGGUCCAGACUCCUACGGGAGGCAGCAGUGGGGAAUUUUGGACAAUGGGCGAAAGCCUGAUCCAGCAAUGCCGCGUGAGUGAAGAAGGCCUUCGGGUUGUAAAGCUCUUUUGUCAGGGAAGAAACGGUGAAAGCUAAUAUCUUUUGCUAAUGACGGUACCUGAAGAAUAAGCACCGGCUAACUACGUGCCAGCAGCCGCGGUAAUACGUAGGGUGCAAGCGUUAAUCGGAAUUACUGGGCGUAAAGCGUGCGCAGGCGGUUUUGUAAGUCUGAUGUGAAAUCCCCGGGCUCAACCUGGGAAUUGCAUUGGAGACUGCAAGGCUAGAAUCUGGCAGAGGGGGGUAGAAUUCCACGUGUAGCAGUGAAAUGCGUAGAUAUGUGGAGGAACACCGAUGGCGAAGGCAGCCCCCUGGGUCAAGAUUGACGCUCAUGCACGAAAGCGUGGGGAGCAAACAGGAUUAGAUACCCUGGUAGUCCACGCCCUAAACGAUGUCUACUAGUUGUCGGGUCUUAAUUGACUUGGUAACGCAGCUAACGCGUGAAGUAGACCGCCUGGGGAGUACGGUCGCAAGAUUAAAACUCAAAGGAAUUGACGGGGACCCGCACAAGCGGUGGAUGAUGUGGAUUAAUUCGAUGCAACGCGAAAAACCUUACCUACCCUUGACAUGGCUGGAAUCCUUGAGAGAUCAGGGAGUGCUCGAAAGAGAGCCAGUACGCAGGUGCUGCAUGGCUGUCGUCAGCCCGUGUCGUGAGAUGUUGGGUUAAGUCCCGCAACGAGCGCAACCCUUGUCAUUAGUUGCUACGAAAGGGCACUCUAAUGAGACUGCCGGUGACAAACCGGAGGAAGGUGGGGAUGACGUCAAGUCCUCAUGGCCCUUAUGGGUAGGGCUUCACACGUCAUACAAUGGUACAUACAGAGCGCCGCCAACCCGCGAGGGGGAGCUAAUCGCAGAAAGUGUAUCGUAGUCCGGAUUGUAGUCUGCAACUCGACUGCAUGAAGUUGGAAUCGCUAGUAAUCGCGGAUCAGCAUGUCGCGGUGAAUACGUUCCCGGGUCUUGCACACACCGCCCGUC